rnacentral:lncRNA from 1 species
AUGCUAUUUUUGAUGCUGGGGCUGUUUCAGCUCCUCCCAGUGCAAGUAUCUGCUUCUAAAGAUCAGGCUGCCCCCUUAAAUCCUUAUGUUUUAUCCCUUCUUGUUCAGUCUCCUGUCCUGACUCCUGCUACAGAUGCCAGAAUCCCAAACAGGACUUCUCCAUUGGAGGUCCUCAGUGACACAGAAGAGGAGAAACUCCAGACCCAUACAUGUAUCAGAAUCCAGGCUGGAAGCCAGGAUUUUGGGGGUUGUCCCCCUCUUGUGGACAAUGUAGUGAGAGCAGCAGCAACAGGAAUUAGAAGACAACAGCAAAAUACAUGAUUUCCUCCAGCAAUCUCCUAAAAGCUGACUUUGAAGAUGUCUCUGUUUCUCAUGCACCACU